rnacentral:rRNA from 1 species
CUACUGGAAACGGUGGCUAAUACCGCAUAACGUCGCAAGACCAAAGAGGGGGACCUUCGGGCCUCUUGCCAUCAGAUGUGCCCAGAUGGGAUUAGCUUGUUGGUGAGGUAACGGCUCACCAAGGCGACGAUCCCUAGCUGGUCUGAGAGGAUGACCAGCCACACUGGAACUGAGACACGGUCCAGACUCCUACGGGAGGCAGCAGUGGGGAAUAUUGCACAAUGGGCGCAAGCCUGAUGCAGCCAUGCCGCGUGUAUGAAGAAGGCCUUCGGGUUGUAAAGUACUUUCAGCGGGGAGGAAGGUGUUGUGGUUAAUAACCGCAGCAAUUGACGUUACCCGCAGAAGAAGCACCGGCUAACUCCGUGCCAGCAGCCGCGGUAAUACGGAGGGUGCAAGCGUUAAUCGGAAUUACUGGGCGUAAAGCGCACGCAGGCGGUCUGUCAAGUCGGAUGUGAAAUCCCCGGGCUCAACCUGGGAACUGCAUUCGAAACUGGCAGGCUUGAGUCUUGUAGAGGGGGGUAGAAUUCCAGGUGUAGCGGUGAAAUGCGUAGAGAUCUGGAGGAAUACCGGUGGCGAAGGCGGCCCCCUGGACAAAGACUGACGCUCAGGUGCGAAAGCGUGGGGAGCAAACAGGAUUAGAUACCCUGGUAGUCCACGCCGUAAACGAUGUCUACUUGGAGGUUGUGCCCUUGAGGCGUGGCUUCCGGAGCUAACGCGUUAAGUAGACCGCCUGGGGAGUACGGCCGCAAGGUUAAAACUCAAAUGAAUUGACGGGGGCCCGCACAAGCGGUGGAGCAUGUGGUUUAAUUCGAUGCAACGCGAAGAACCUUACCUGGUCUUGACAUCCACGGAAGUUUUCAGAGAUGAGAAUGUGCCUUCGGGAACCGUGAGACAGGUGCUGCAUGGCUGUCGUCAGCUCGUGUUGUGAAAUGUUGGGUUAAGUCCCGCAACGAGCGCAACCCUUAUCCUUUGUUGCCAGCGGUUAGGCCGGGAACUCAAAGGAGACUGCCAGUGAUAAACUGGAGGAAGGUGGGGAUGACGUCAAGUCAUCAUGGCCCUUACGACCAGGGCUACACACGUGCUACAAUGGCGCAUACAAAGAGAAGCGACCUCGCGAGAGCAAGCGGACCUCAUAAAGUGCGUCGUAGUCCGGAUUGGAGUCUGCAACUCGACUCCAUGAAGUCGGAAUCGCUAGUAAUCGUGGAUCAGAAUGCCACGGUGAAUACGUUCCCGGGCCUUGUACACACCGCCCGUCACACCAUGGGAGUGGGUUGCAAAAGAAGUAGGUAGCUUAACCUUCGGGAGGGCGCUUACCACUUUGUGAUUCAUGACUGGGGUGAAGUCGUAACAAGGUAACCGUAGGGGAACCUGCGGUUGGAUCACCUCCUUACCUUAAAG